rnacentral:rRNA from 1 species
AAUGAACGUUGGCGGCGUGGAUUAGGCAUGCAAGUCGAACGGGCCGGGUCUUCGGACCCGGUCAGUGGCGCAAGGGUGAGUAAGGCGACGGUAACCAACCCCAAGGUCGGGCAUAGCCGCGGGAAACUGCGGGUAAUACCCAGCGACGUCGCGGGCGGGCAUCCGCCGGCGACCAAAGCUCAGGCGCCGUGGGACGGGCCGUCGUGGUAUUAGGUCGUUGGCGGGGUAAUGGCCCACCAAGCCUGCGAUGCCUACCGGGCGUGCGAGCGUGGCCCGG